CCAAAAACCUAGCCAAAAUUUACCCAUUUCAUCAAUUUUAUUAAACUAAAAUAUUCUACUCAAUCUAGUAAAGAUGAUUAAAAAAUUUAUUUGAGCUAUAAAAACGUACCGAAAGGGAAAGAUGAAAUAACAAUGAAACAUCACUUAAGCACAAAAUAGUAGAGACUCAACCUCGUACCUUUUGCAUCAUGGUUUAGCUAGUCUAACCAAGCAAAAAGAAAUUAAGUUUGACUUCCCGAAACUAAGUGAGCUACCUUAGGACAGCCUAAUGGGCAAACCCGUCUCUGUUGCAAAAGAGUGGGAAGAUCUUAAAGUAGAGGUGAUAUACCUAUCGAACUUAGCAAUAGCUGGUUAUUUAGGAAAAGAAUCUUAGUUCAACCUAAAGCUUUAUCAAUACCCCAAAAUAAUCAGCUUUAGAGCUAUUCAAAUAAGUCACAGCUUGUUUGAAAUAGGAUACAACCUCAACCUGUGGGUAAUUAAUUAAUGAACAAAAACAAGUAGGCCUAAAAGCAGCCACCUUUGAAAAAGCGUCAAAGCUUAACCUCCAACACUCUUUAUGAUCACUUAAACUAUUCAAAGACCCCUCGACAGCACUAAAUAAUCCUAUACCCUCAUAGGACUCUCUAUGUUAAGACUAGUAACAAGAACAACCUUCUCUUAUAUGUAAGUGUAAAUCAGAAUAGAAAUACUACUGAUACCUAACAGCCUUAACUUAAAGUACCAAACUACUUAGAAAAAUCUACUGAUUUAGCUGUUAAUCUAACACAAGAGCAUAAAAAGAAAGAUUAUAAGAAAAAGAAGGAAUUCGGCAAACCUUGAUUCCGCCUGUUUACCAAAAACAUCGCCUCCUGUCUAUCUAUAGGAGGUCCAGCCUGCCCAGUGACCUAGUUUAACGGCCGCGGUAUCCUAACCGUGCGAAGGUAGCGUAAUCACCUGUUUUUUAAUUGAAGACCUGUAUGAAAGGCAUCACGAGAAUCGUACUGUCUCCUUUUUCUAAUCAGUGAAACUAAUCUCCCCGUGAAAAAGCGGGAAUACUCAUACAAGACGAGAAGACCCUUUGGAGCUUAAGACAAAGUAACGUUUUGCAUUCUUCAUUUUAACCUAUUUCUCUAAGCACUUACAUUACAAAUCUUCGGUUGGGGCAACCGCGGAGUAAAAACCACCCUCCAAGUUGAAUGGAAUUUUCCUAAGCAAGAAGCCACAACUUUAUGCAUCAAAAAAUUGACAUUAUGACCCAAUAUCUUGAUUAUCGAACCAAGUUACCCUAGGGAUAACAGCGCAAUCCACUUCGAGAGUUCAUAUCGACAAGUGGGCUUACGACCUCGAUGUUGGAUCAAGGUAUCCUAGUGGUGCAGCCGCUACUAAUGGUUCGUUUGUUCAACGAUUAAAACCUUACGUGAUCUGAGUUCAGACCGGAGUAAUCCAGGUCAGUUUCUAUCUGUAAAGAGCUCUUUCCAGUACGAAAGGAUAGAAAAAGCAUGGCCAAUGAAAAAUUUACGCCAUUUAACUACUUAUGAUAACCACUUAAAAAGUUACUUCUCCCACUCACACUCAAGAUCAGAGUA
rnacentral:rRNA from 1 species